rnacentral:lncRNA from 1 species
CUCAGCAGCUGCGCUAGGUAGGAUAUAAAAGAAGGUCUCAUUAUUAUAUAAACCCAAUAAGAAUACAUAGAAUACAGCAGUGUGACACAAGCAGUGCUUACAGACAGCAUCUCUGUUUCGUAACAGGUAUCCAUGUAUUUUCUCUUAGAUGCCAUAUACCAGAUUGACUUCUCCCUGGCAGUGACUGGCAUUUAGGGAGGAGUUAAAAAUUACUUCCUUCCCCCGCUUCAGCUUCAGUUCCUCCAGCAUGAACACAUAUAGACUAGGGCUUCAAAGGCUCCAGCAACAUUUCCAGAUGUCCUAGACACCACGUGGGUGUUAGUAAAACAAGGAGGACCAAAGAAGAGGUACCUAUCACUGAUAUAUUACUAUAUAUACUAUAUAUAUAUAUAUUGAUCGCUUCUUAUGCAAGUUUAUUGUUUACAGUUUUCACAUCAACUUAAACAUUCUUCAGUUAUCUGAAUGUAUGUAUGUAGGCAUUAUGUUACAAACUUUCCUUUUCUGAAGGAAACAUAAAUGUACAUAGAAAACCAUCAAGGCUGCAGACCCAAGCACUCAAAACCCAGGCGUACAGCAAACAAGUAAACAGAUUGUAAGGCAAAUAGGUAUACGGGUACAGGACCAGAGAGAUUACCACAUUACAAAGGCAUGAUGAAAUAAAGAGCUUACCCUGGUCGUGGGCUCACCAAAGGGCUCCAAGAGUCAGCCCUUACAUGGGGUCUUCCGGUCACUCAGGUGAAACUGUGUUCAACUGUGUCCUCUGCGGCUGACUCAGUGCUCGCCUCAGGUGGUCAAUCUGAGGUUCAGGCCACGAUUCAACAGUUGCCAUACACCGGGAAACGCCAGAAUUAAGUUGGCAUGGCAAAAGAAAAUAUUUUUCUCUUAAUUUCAUUCCCAGAAAUGGUGAAACCAUUUCUUUGUUUAAGCUUUCCAAACCAAUUCAUCUGAAGCAGACAUUCAGCAUGAAAAGUUUCAGCCCAAACAACUGAAACCUGACAAAGUUAGAUGCCACUGAAAAAAGGGUCUUAUCAUGGGAAACGUGAGGCAAGCUUAAUUCCAGGCAGCACUACCAGCAUCAUUUAAAACACAGUUACAAUCAAAAUUUCAUCCUGACUUUACCUUGUAUGUUUAGCUAUAUACUGUCGAGAAGGAUUUCAAACUGCCUACCUUUCUUACUGUGUUGGAGGCCCGGGGUCUUUGGCAGACUUGAUCAAAACUACAACACAGCUACUUACAUCAGGCAUCAGAAAGAGAAGCCAUUACUCAAAACAACCAUCUCAGAUGCAUGACACAAAGAAGAGGAAGCCACGAGUUUUCAGAGGGUCUCAGUACUCACAGAAGUUUCUACAGGUUCCAGUUCUUUGCAUACCUCAAUUAAAUGCUAACUGCUCUGUUGAAAUUAGCAGGUCUGCUUGAUGAUUACUGCCUGGCAUUUCACUAGGAAGUUAACUAGAUUCAAAACAUACCAUUUGCUGUGCUGCUGUCCAGGGCUGCCAUCGUCACCAGACUGCUCUGCAUUCUCACUGGCCCAGCUUCCUCUGUAGGCUCCUGCUGCACACACACUGCAUUCAGCUCCUAUUUUUGAUGCAGUCUAUAAAUUUAAACAUUAUUUGCAACGCUGCACUGACAGCCAGGUACCGAAUCACAAUCUCCAAUCAAUCAAUUUUCACCCAGAGGGUGGUGACACACCAAACAGGUUGCCCAAGGAGGUUGUGGAUGCCCCAUCGCUGGAGACACUCAAGGCCAGGCUGGAUGUGGCUCUGGGCAGCCUGGUCUGGUGGUUGGCGAUCCUGCACACAGCAGGGGUUGGAACUGGAUCAUCACUGUGGUCCUUUUUGACCCAGGCCAUUCUAUGACUCAACAUUUCACGGAUGACAAAGAGACGGAGGCACCAACCACAUCUCUGGGCAACCUGUUCCAAGGCCUCACCACCCCCACUGUAAAAGACUUUCCCUUACAUCCAAGCAAAGAUACAUAGGCAUCAAACCAAGCAUCAUAUGCAUCGAGAAAACAAUCUAAGGCUGCCCUCAAGAGCUAAACAUCACAGGUUUUACAGUGCCGUUUUUUCAGUGUUUUGGAUUUCAAACUGAUGUUGAGGUUUUAAACUUUGUGUGCGACAUUCUCAUGAAAAGAACCGAG